rnacentral:rRNA from 1 species
UUGGAGGGCAAGUCUGGUGCCAGCAGCCGCGGUAAUUCCAGCUCCAAUAGCGUAUAUUAAAGUUGUUGCAGUUAAAAAGCUCGUAGUUGAAUUUCGGGGUCAGUAGGCUGGUCGUGCCACAGGUAUGUACUGGUCUCACUGAUUCCUCCUUCCUGAUGAACCGUAAUGCCAUUAAUUUGGUGUUGCGGGGAAUCUGGACUGUUACUUUGAAAAAAUUAGAGUGUUUAAAGCAGGCUAACGCUUGAAUACAUUAGCAUGGAAUAAUGAAAUAGGACGAUCGAUCCUAUUUUGUUGGUUUCUAGGAUUGACGUAAUGAUUAAUAGGGAUAGUUGGGGGCAUUAGUAUUCAAUUGUCAGAGGUGAAAUUCUUGGAUUUAUUGAAGACUAACUACUGCGAAAGCAUUUGCCAAGGAUGUUUUCAUUAAUCAAGAACGAAAGUUAGGGGAUCGAAGACGAUCAGAUACCGUCGUAGUCUUAACCAUAAACUAUGCCGACUAGGGAUCGGAUGAUGUUAAUUUUUUAAUGACUCUUCGGCGCCUUACGGGAAA